rnacentral:rRNA from 1 species
GAUGAACGCUGGCGGCGUGCCUAAUACAUGCAAGUCGAGCGAACAGACGAGGAGCUUGCUGCUCUGUCGUUAGCGGGGGACAGGGGAGUAACACGUGGAUAACCUACCUAUAAGACUGGGAUAACUGCGGGAAACCGGGGCUAAUAUCGGAUAAGAUAUGUAACCGCAGGGUGCAGUGGUUGAGAACGGUUUUUCUGGCACUGGUAGAGGGAGCGGCGCCGCAGUAGGUCGUUGGGAAGGUAACGGCUGAACAAGGUAACGAUGGGUAGCCGACCUGGGGGGGUGGUGGGCCUCAUCGGACCUGAGACACGUGCCAGACUCCUACGGGAGGCAGCAGUAGGGACUCUUCCGCAUUGGGCGCAAGCCUGACGGAGCUGCGCCGCGGGAGUGAUGAAGGUCUUCGGAUCGUAAAGCUCUGUUAUUAGGGAAGAACAAAUGUGUAAGUAACUAUGCACGUCUUGACGGUACCUAGUCAGAAAGCCCCGGCUAACUACGUG